CCUACGGGAGGCAGCAGUGAGGAAUAUUGGUCAAUGGGCUUACGCCUGAACCAGCCAAGUCGCGUGAGGGAAGACUGCCCUAUGGGUUGUAAACCUCUUUUGUCAGGGAGCAAUUGGCGCUACGUGUAGCGUUAUCAAGAGUACCUGAAGAAAAAGCAUCGGCUAACUCCGUGCCAGCAGCCGCGGUAAUACGGAGGAUGCGAGCGUUAUCCGGAUUUAUUGGGUUUAAAGGGUGCGUAGGCGGAAUGCCAAGUCAGCGGUAAAAUCGCGGGGCUCAACCUCGCUCCGCCGUUGAAACUGGAGGUCUUGAGUGGGCGAGAGGUAUGCGGAAGGCGUGGUGUAGCGGUGAAAUGCAUAGAUAUCACGCAGAACUCCGAUUGCGAAGGCAGCAUACCGGCGCCCAACUGACGCUGAAGCACGAAAGCGUGGGUAUCGAACAGGAUUAGAUACCCGAGUAGUC
rnacentral:rRNA from 1 species